rnacentral:rRNA from 1 species
AUUGAACGCUGGCGGCAGGCUUAACACAUGCAAGUCGAGCGAGCGGCGGACGGGUGAGUAAUGUAUGGGAAACUGCCUGAUGGAGGGGGAUAACUACUGGAAACGGUAGCUAAUACCGCAUACCAUCGGAUGUACCCAGAUGGGAUUAGCUAGUAGGUGGGGUAAUGGCUCACCUAGGCGACGAUCCCUAGCUGGUCUGAGAGGAUGAUCAGCCACACUGGGACUGAGACACGGUCCAGACUCCUACGGGAGGCAGCAGUGGGGAAUAUUGCACAAUGGGCGCAAGCCUGAUGCAGCCAUGCCGCGUGUAUGAAGAAGGCCUUCGGGUUGUAAAGCACUUUCAGCGAGGAGGCGUUACUCGCAGAAGAAGCACCGGCUAACUCCGUGCCAGCCGCCGCGGUAAUAC